ACGAACGCUGGCGGCGUGCCUAAUACAUGCAAGUAGAACGCUGAAGAGAGGAGCUUGCUCUUCUUGGAUGAGUUGCGAACGGGUGAGUAACGCGUAGGUAACCUGCCUUGUAGCGGGGGAUAACUAUUGGAAACGAUAGCUAAUACCGCAUAACAAUGGAUGACACAUGUCAUUUAUUUGAAAGGGGCAAUUGUUCCACUACAAGAUGGACCUGCGUUGUAUUAGCUGGUAGGUGAGGUAAUGGCUCACCUAGGCGACGAUACAUAGCCGACCUGAGAGGGUGAUCGGCCACACUGGGACUGAGACACGGCCCAGACUCCUACGGGAGGCAGCAGUAGGGAAUCUUCGGCAAUGGGGGCAACCCUGACCGAGCAACGCCGCGUGAGUGAAGAAGGUUUUCGGAUCGUAAAGCUCUGUUGUAAGUCAAGAACGGGUGUGAGAGUGGAAAGUUCACACUGUGACGGUAGCUUACCAGAAAGGGACGGCUAACUACGUGCCAGCAGCCGCGGUAAUACGUAGGUCCCGAGCGUUGUCCGGAUUUAUUGGGCGUAAAGCGAGCGCAGGCGGUUUGAUAAGUCUGAAGUUAAAGGCUGUGGCUCAACCAUAGUUCGCUUUGGAAACUGUCAAACUUGAGUGCAGAAGGGGAGAGUGGAAUUCCAUGUGUAGCGGUGAAAUGCGUAGAUAUAUGGAGGAACACCGGUGGCGAAAGCGGCUCUCUGGUCUGUAACUGACGCUGAGGCUCGAAAGCGUGGGGAGCGAACAGGAUUAGAUACCCUGGUAGUCCACGCCGUAAACGAUGAGUGCUAGGUGUUGGAUCCUUUCCGGGAUUCAGUGCCGCAGCUAACGCAUUAAGCACUCCGCCUGGGGAGUACGACCGCAAGGUUGAAACUCAAAGGAAUUGACGGGGGCCCGCACAAGCGGUGGAGCAUGUGGUUUAAUUCGAAGCAACGCGAAGAACCUUACCAGGUCUUGACAUCCCGAUGCUAUUUCUAGAGAUAGAAAGUUACUUCGGUACAUCGGUGACAGGUGGUGCAUGGUUGUCGUCAGCUCGUGUCGUGAGAUGUUGGGUUAAGUCCCGCAACGAGCGCAACCCCUAUUGUUAGUUGCCAUCAUUCAGUUGGGCACUCUAGCGAGACUGCCGGUAAUAAACCGGAGGAAGGUGGGGAUGACGUCAAAUCAUCAUGCCCCUUAUGACCUGGGCUACACACGUGCUACAAUGGUUGGUACAACGAGUUGCGAGUCGGUGACGGCGAGCUAAUCUCUUAAAGCCAAUCUCAGUUCGGAUUGUAGGCUGCAACUCGCCUACAUGAAGUCGGAAUCGCUAGUAAUCGCGGAUCAGCACGCCGCGGUGAAUACGUUCCCGGGCCUUGUACACACCGCCCGUCACACCACGAGAGUUUGUAACACCCGAAGUCGGUGAGGUAACCUUUUGGAGCCAGCCGCCUAAGGUGGGACAGAUGAUUGGGGUG
rnacentral:rRNA from 1 species